rnacentral:lncRNA from 1 species
GUAAAGUGAAUGGGAAUGUCAUCAGACCAAACCAACCGCCUGUAGUUUUAACUGAAGGAAGCAGCACCACUCUGUCCUGUACAUAUGAUGGAUCAGCUUACAGUCUCCACUGGUAUCGGCAGAAGCCUGGAUCAAAACCAGAGUUUCUGCUGCUAAUUGAUGAAUCUACUAAAACUGAAGUUCCAGCUUCUCCACCUCAUCCACAUAUGUCCAUCAGACUCCAUGACAAUAGAAGUGUGGAUCUGGAGAUCUCCUCUGCUGCUGUAUCAGACUCUGCAAUGUAUUACUGUGCCCUGCAGCCCACAGUGACAGGAAAAAAAAACUACACUGUACAAAAACCUUCUUGUCAUUUGUCGGUUGCAUAGUCAUGUUUCUCUACCAUGAUUUCUGUGAUAUUCCAUUAUGCUUCUGAUCUAAUAUAGCAUUUAAACAUACUGGCCAUUGGAAAUGACUGACCAUUAUCAGAUGUAUCAUUCUCUCUGAUAAAUUACUAGAAUGUUCAAAUAGGUCAUUGUUAAAAUGACUACACUACAGAUGUAUCUCAAAUAUUUUAAAUAUCUUGCCACAGAAAGUCUAUUGGGUUGCUAUAUACAAGAGGUUUCAAGAGCCAUUAUUACCCACAGAAUUAUUUUAGAUUCACAGUUAAGACCACACCUAGACUACUGAAUUUAUAGUAACUUUUGUAGAUAGAUGUGUAAUCUGCUUAUUAUGUUGCUGUAGAAUAACUUUGGUUGUUUUAGUUACAUUCAAAAAAAGAAUGACAUACUUAACCAGUGGUUACCACACACAUUCUACACAGUCUCUCAUUUUUGUUUAGUUUUGUUUUUUAACAUAUACAGUAUUAAUAAGCUUUACAUCAGAGAGACCCAGUUAUGCAUGUCUUUUGCCAGAAGGUGGAGCUCACAUUUACAUUAUUUCAAAACAGAGUGCAAAUACAAACUGAGUCAGUUAGGAGGAAACUGUAAGUCUUGAAGUCUGCAGGCUUUUUGUCUCAUUGAUGAUGUUGCUCCUGCUGGCCCUGAUGAUAUUUUCCAUUUUUAAGGAGAAUGCUGAUGCUGAAGUGAUAACACCUUUCUUCACAAAGCAGCAUGUUUUGGCAGGAAGAAAUGUUACACUUUCCUGCAACUACAGUGGCAAUGUUCGCAAUUUGCAAUGGUAUCGUCAGUAUCCCGGAUCCAAACCUGAGAAUAUCAUUUUUUACACUGAGAGCAGCAAUCAGUCAGAGCCCAAGCUUCGUCUGUACGCUGUGGCUGAUAAAGGAAUCAAACGUAUGAAUCUAAGCAUAUAUUCUACGGAGCUGGAUGAUUCUGCUCUGUACUACUGUGCCCUGGAGCCCACAGUGACAGGAAAUACAACUGCACUGUACAAAAACAGACAAUCAGGACACACUGUAAUUACCAAACAUUACCAAAAUGUACCACUGUGUACAAUAAGGUAAAUGAAAGAAAAAUUAAGAACGCUGAUAUCAACUAGUUUAAAGAUCUUU